GCCGGUGUAGCUCAAUUGGUAGAGCAGCUGAAUCGUAAUCAGCAGGCUAGGGGUUCAAGUCCCCUUGCCGGCUCCA
rnacentral:tRNA from 1 species